rnacentral:rRNA from 1 species
GAUGAACGCUAGCGGGAGGCUUAAUACAUGCAAGUCGAGCGGCAAGGUCUUCGGACCCUAGAGCGGCGCACGGGUGAGUAACACGUAGGUAACCUGCCCCCCAGUCUGGAACAACUAGAGGAAACUCUAGCUAAUGCCGGAUGAGACCACGAUCCCUUCGGGGGUUGCGGCCAAAGAUGGCCUCUACUUGUAAGCUAUCGCUGAGGGAUGGGCCUGCGGGCCAUUAGCUUGUUGGUGAGGUAACGGCUCACCAAGGCUGUGAUGGCUAGCUGGUCUGAGAGGAUGACCAGCCACACUGGGACUGAGACACGGCCCAGACUCCUACGGGAGCAGCAGUGGGGAAUAUUGCGCAAUGGGCGAAAGCCUGACGCAGCGACGCCGCGUGGGUGAGUGAAGGCCUCGGUCGUAA